AUCGGCAAUAUUUCAGCCAUACCGUGACGAGAACAAUCUAAACAUUAACCAAAAUAAAUCUAUAUCAUAAAACCAAGUGAGUAAAGAACAGU